CCCUUAGAUGUUCGGGGCCGCACGCGCGCUACACUGAAGGAAUCAGCACGUCUUUCUCCUUGUCCGAAAGGACUGGGUAACCCGCUGAACCUCCUUCGUGCUAGGGAUUGGGGCUUGUAAUUCUUCCCCAUGAACGAGGAAUUCCCAGUAAGCGCAAGUCAUCAGCUUGUGUUGAUUACGUCCCUGCCCUUUGUACACACCGCCCGUCGCUACUACCGAUUGAAUGGUUUAGUGAGACCCUCGGAUUCGUCCCAGCACAGUGGGUUUCUGCUGAGCUGGUGCGCGGAGAAGACGGUCGAACUUGAUCAUUUAGAGGAAGUAAAAGUUGUAACA
rnacentral:rRNA from 1 species